rnacentral:misc_RNA from 1 species
UCUUCGGAGACUGGCUCAGCUGAAAUAUAAGAGUGGACUCCAUUUCAAAUGGCAACGGCUCGACUCGGCGUAAUAAUAUAUUCGCUGAGGACGUUGCAUACAAUGUUUGAAUCGUAGCCGCUUCUACUGCAAUCAGAGCACUGCUCUGAUACACCAUACUUUUAGACCUCAAAUCAGGCAGGGCUACCCGCUGAACUUAA